GAUGAACGCUGGCGGCGUGCCUAAUACAUGCAAGUCGAGCGAACAGAUAAGGAGCUUGCUCCUUUGACGUUAGCGGCGGACGGGUGAGUAACACGUGGGUAACCUACCUAUAAGACUGGGAUAACUUCGGGAAACCGGAGCUAAUACCGGAUAACAUUUGGAACCGCAUGGUUCUAAAGUGAAAGAUGGUUUUGCUAUCACUUAUAGAUGGACCCGCGCCGUAUUAGCUAGUUGGUAAGGUAACGGCUUACCAAGGCGACGAUACGUAGCCGACCUGAGAGGGUGAUCGGCCACACUGGAACUGAGACACGGUCCAGACUCCUACGGGAGGCAGCAGUAGGGAAUCUUCCGCAAUGGGCGAAAGCCUGACGGAGCAACGCCGCGUGAGUGAUGAAGGGUUUCGGCUCGUAA
rnacentral:rRNA from 1 species